GAUGAACGCUGGCGGCGUGCCUAACACAUGCAAGUCGAACGGAGAUUACGGACGGAAGUUUUCGGAUGGAAGACUGUAAUUCUUAGUGGCGGACGGGUGAGUAACGCGUGGGCAACCUGCCCUAUACAGGGGGAUAGCAGCUGGAAACGGCUGGUAAGACCGCAUAAGUCGGUUAAAUCGCAUGAUUUGAUCGGGGAAUGAGCAAUCAGGUAUAGGAUGGGCCCGCGUCCGAUUAGCCAGUUGGCAGGGUAAAAGCCUACCAAAGCGACGAUCGGUAGCCGGACUGAGAGGUCGGACGGCCACAUUGGGACUGAGACACGGCCCAAACUCCUACGGGAGGCAGCAGUGGGGGAUAUUGCACAAUGGAGGAAACUCUGAUGCAGCGACGCCGCGUGAGUGAAGAAGUAUUUCGGUAUGUAAAGCUCUAUCAGCAGGGAAGAUGAUGACGGUACCUGACUAAGAAGCCCCGGCUAACUACGUG
rnacentral:rRNA from 1 species